GAGUUUGUAUCCUGGCUCAGGAUGAACGCUAGCUACAGGCUUAACACAUGCAAGUCGAGGGGAAACGACAUCGAAAGCUUGCUUUUGAUGGGCGUCGACCGGCGCACGGGUGAGUAACGCGUAUCCAACCUGCCCACCACUUGGGGAUAACCUUGCGAAAGUAAGACUAAUACCCAAUGACGUCUCUAGAAGACAUCUGAAAGAGAUUAAAGAUUUAUCGGUGAUGGAUGGGGAUGCGUCUGAUUAGCUUGUUGGCGGGGUAACGGCCCACAAGGNGACGAUCAGUAGGGGUUCUGAGGAGGAAGGUCCCCCACAUUGGAACUGAGACACGGUCCAAACUCCUACGGAGGCA
rnacentral:rRNA from 1 species